UACGUAGGGGGCAAGCGUUGUCCGGAAUCAUUGGGCGUAAAGCGCGUGUAGGCGGCUAGGUAAGUCUGCUGUGAAAACUCGAGGCUUAACCUCGAGCUGUCGGCGGAAACCAUCUGGCUAGAGUCCGGAAGAGGAGAAUGGAAUUCCCGGUGUAGCGGUGAAAUGCGCAGAUAUCGGGAAGAACACCCGUGGCGAAGGCGGUUCUCUGGGACGGUACUGACGCUGAGACGCGAAAGCGUGGGGAGCGAACAGG
rnacentral:rRNA from 1 species